UCCUCCUUUCUUUUCUGGUAACCUGUGGAAACCGCCGCCUCUGCCUGUGUCCUGGUCCUGCCCCCAUGAGCGUGCACCGGCCCCGCUGGCCAGAGCCGGAAUGAACUAAUGGACGGCAGGAACCCAAGUGUUGUGGACAGACUUGACCCUGAAGACAGAGGAGCCUCAGAACAACGAGGGUGUGAGAUAAAGGGAGUGCCAGACCCUUGUCCAACACUGGCUCCCAGAAAUCCGGGGUACGGGGAGCAGCCCCUGCCUGUCCAUGGAGGGCUGGCUCACGGUGGGCGGGGCCAGGGAGGCUUUUCCCCCAGGCACAGAGCUCUGGGGCUCGGACCCUGACACGAAGAGGUCAGAUAACGCGACAAUUCCCCACUGUUCAGCUGGGAGGUCAGGCCCUCUGCAGCAUCCCGCGGGGGGCUUCAUACUGUCGCAGAGGGCACGGGGCUGCCCCGGGGAGCUGGGCUGAGGACAGGUGCCAGGGAGGUUCCUGGGGGUCUUCUCCCCAGUCCCCCAAGUCCACCAGCUGCAGCUCCGAAAGGAUGUCUGUCGAAAGGGACCUGGCCUUCGGGGCUGGGGGUUGUCGUGUGCCUUGUGGUCCCUCAGCCCCUGGGGGCAGCGACAGGAGAGGCUCUCGGCGCCAGGAGGUGCGCGCAAACAUCACUUGCUUCUGGCGUCACUCUCACCCCCAUUCCCCUAAGCUGCUUGCUCCCCAAAGCUCUCUCCAGAGGAGAGGGUGGUAGCAGGGCCAGGCCCCGGCGUGGCCGCAGCGCGCCGGCCUGAGAGGAGAAGGAGGAACAGCCAGGCCUGGGGGGCCUCCGGGGCAGUCACGCUUCCUUCCCUCAGAACUGCACAGUCUGGGACCACCUCCAUCAUGAGGUAGGAGAGAGGGAUCCUCGAGACGAGGAGAAGCCGUAGGCAGGAGACACGCUCUCCCCCCUCCCCCACCUCGUGACUGGUGGUGCCUCUCGGGGUGAGACUCCCCCGCCUGUGCACUGACCUUAGCUUCAUGCUGAGGCCCAGUUUAGUGUCCUCUCUAAUCUGAACCAACGGUGAUUGUAUGAUUUUUAUUUCUGCCCCGAGGGGUAAGGGCAGAGUCUUCUGGAAGGUUUUGCCUUGGACUUUCAUAAUUGAGCUCAGAGGCCUUGCCCUGCCCCCUCCCUCCCUGCCCCCAAUCACUGCAGUGUCCAGCCCAGUGUUGAACAGAUUGUAGUGUUUUGUCUCAUUACAAACAAAUAAACAGACUUUAAUUGGUCA